rnacentral:tRNA from 1 species
GGUAAAAUGGCUGAGGUUAGGCGAUAAAUUGUAAAUUUAUUUACGAGAUUGAAUCUCUUUUAUCA